CCGCGUCCCCAAGUCAGGCGUGAAC
rnacentral:rRNA from 4 species